UCUGUUCCUGUCCUGUCCUUUCUCUCCUUUUUUUAAGCAAGGAUAGCUUGGUCAGACUGUGCAGAGCUGUGGCUUCCCCUCCUGUGGAUGCCUUCUGAACAGCAGAUCUAACUUCCUCCUCAAACCAAGGCAUCCUGAAAACAUCCAAGCAGAGGAAGCAUUUUUUCACCAUGACAUGGGAAAGGGCCACAGAGAUCCAAAUGGAAACGGACAUUUCAUGACUUCUUUACAACCUCAGAGUUUUUGGCUGGGCUUGUGAACAUCUAGAAUGGUAGGCAAGUCAUAUCCUUGCAGGACCUUUGCCUAAUAGGGAGUGGGAACCAUAAAGAAAUACCCUCCUCUACACUGGUCUCAGAGAGAGAUCACAAAUAGGCGGAGAGGCAGGAAGACAGAGAGGCAGAAGCAGGCUCCCCACUGAGCAGAGAGCCCGAUGCCAUGCGCGGCUCCAUCCCAGGACCCUGACAGAUCAUGACCUGAGCUGAAGGCAGAGGCUUUAACCCACUCAGCCACCCAGGUGCCCCAGCACUUUAAAUUGUUAUCAUUAACAUUAAAGUGCUAGUUCUUUGAGAUUUGAAAAAUUUGAAUUUCAUAAUUUAAUAAUUAUAGCAAUUUUGUGAAUUUUAGUAGAUUUUUAUGUUUAUUCUACAAACAUAUGUUUU